AAUUCUGUCGCCUAAUCGAUUUAAGCCGUUCUAUGAUUCGGCAGUUGUAAAUCGAGCGGGGGAACCAGAUCUUGGGGUGGGUCUCGAACUUUCGAGAUGGGUUCCUUGCCGCCCUAACCCGUCAGCUAACCCUGUAGGAAUUGGAAGGGACA
rnacentral:sRNA from 2 species